UGAUACUUUAGGUUCUCCCUAUAAUUUGUUAAGCAAAAGAAUGUAUCAAGAAGUUGUUGCAUGUUAUUUUUCAUACAACAUUGUCUGUUGUCUGUUGUUGCUGUUGCUGUGGUUGUUUCUUCCACUGCUUGGGAUUGGGUAUUGGCUGGGAACCUGUAUUUGGGGCGGUGGGUGUUGAGUCCGGUGGUGUUUGCCCCCUAAUUGAGUUUAGUUUUGUUUCGGGAGUAUUCCUUUGAAUUUGUGUGAGCCUUGUAUUUCCUUGCUGCUGCUUUGAUACUACCACCGUGUAUAUCUGUAUAUUUUCCUAUACUUUCGUGUAGUUGUGGCUGUGGGCGGUAAUGGGUGGAUAGGGUCAUGUCCGAGGGGGUUGGGGAGUGGGGCCGUGGUGGGGGCGGGGGAUGAGGAGAGGGCGGGAGGGGGAGGGGGGCCAAGGUUUGG
rnacentral:lncRNA from 1 species